rnacentral:rRNA from 1 species
UACGAAGGGGGCUAGCGUUGUUCGGAAUUACUGGGCGUAAAGCGCACGUAGGCGGUAUGUUAAGUCAGGGGUGAAAUCCAGGGGCUCAACCCCGGAACUGCCUUUGAUACUGGCAUUCUCGAGUCCGGAAGAGGUGAGUGGAAUUCCGAGUGUAGAGGUGAAAUUCGUAGAUAUUCGGAGGAACACCAGUGGCGAAGGCGGCUCACUGGUCCGGUACUGACGCUGAGGUGCGAAAGCGUGGGGAGCAAACAGG